AACGAACGCUGGCGGCAUGCCUAACACAUGCAAGUCGAACGAGACCUUCGGGUCUAGUGGCGCACGGGUGCGUAACGCGUGGGAACCUGCCCUUAGGUUCGGAAUAACUCCCCGAAAGGGGUGCUAAUACCGGAUAAUGUCUUCGGACCAAAGAUUUAUCGCCUUUGGAUGGGCCCGCGUUGGAUUAGCUAGUUGGUAGGGUAAAAGCCUACCAAGGCGACGAUCCAUAGCUGGUCUGAGAGGAUGAUCAGCCACACUGGGACUGAGACACGGCCCAGACUCCUACGGGAGGCAGCAGUGGGGAAUAUUGGAAAAUGGGCGAAAGGCUGAUCCAGCAAUGCCGCGUGAGUGAUGAAGGCCUUAGGGUUGUAAAGCUCUUUUACCCGGGAUGAUAAUGACAGUACCGGGAGAAUAAGCUCCGGCUAACUCCGUG
rnacentral:rRNA from 1 species